GGAGGGAAGGGGUCAGUGACACAGACAGCACAGUGAGCAGCAACAGGAGGGAGACGAGAGGGAGAACGUGCGCGACAGAGAGAGAACGCGCUGGAAAGGCUGACUCCCCUCUGGACUCUCCUGAUUGGUCCCUUUAAACGAUGACAUCACAUCACCGCUUGCAGGGUCCCACUCCAGCAGGACGCUCCUCUUCCUCAGGCUGUGGCUCAGCUGCUGCCUCUCCUGAGAGCUCAUCGUCCACCGCUGCAGCGCCAGGCGGGUCAGCGCAGGGAGGCGAGGCACGGCACAGAGCAGCGUUGGCAGCCAGGCCGAGCACGGAGCAGAGGUCAGAGGUCGCAGGCUGAGGUCCAUUUCCUCCAGGGAGCCCAGGCCUCCUGCUGCGAACAGGGCGGACCAGCCUUCAUCACCUGCUGAGCCAUUAUAGGACAGAUCCAACACCCGCAGAGAGGACAGACAGCCGCGUCUGCACGCUGCAGCUGUUCAGGACGAAGAUGGAGACAGGUCAGUGUGACUGAUCCAAAACAGAGAGAGAGACAUAAUACAAAGGAAUAUUCCUUUUCCCCCUGAAGGUUUGAAGAGAACCAUCUGAAGAGAAAUGAGUACACACUCACCGAGGUGACAGAGGUCCUCUGAGGUGAGCUCACAGCUGCUGAGGCGAAGCUCCAGGAUGACUGACGGCUGCAGAGCGUCCAGGAGGAGCGCCAAACGACCGCCGACGACUUUACUCCAGGAAACAUCCACACUGUGCAGAGAUCCCGGUCCGGUCUGAGGACCAGGACAGGAAGCGUCCUAGAGGCUUUCUGUCGGCGGCCGAGCGUUUCCUCCGGAUCUGACUCAUGAGGACGUCGAGGGGGGAGCGCCUUAGGCUGCCGCCAUCCCGCCCCCGCUGACCAUCUGACCAAUGAGAGUGACAACAAAAUAAAUCCCUGUGGAUGUUUGAGGAUGUUCUGAAUGAUCAGUUAUCAUAUAAAGAUCAGGAGUCUAAUAAAUGAUGUCUGAAAUAUUCAUUAGAAAUGAUUAGGUUCUUAAUCAUGUCCAA